rnacentral:misc_RNA from 1 species
AACACAAAUUGUACUUUCCAGUAUUCUGGGAAGUAUGCUUGGUUGAGGGUCAUUAAAAUAACAUUCGUGAAUUUUUUUGCGGAUUUGAGUUUUCCAGUGUUUAUAAAAAAUGUUGGUAACUUUAAAAUUAUUAUUACUUGGUACAAGUUGAAGACGUUCUAUAUGUGUGUGGUUCGCUGACAACUUGUCCAUCAUCAUAUAUUAUGCGCGCACUUGGUUUUUUACGCUCUGUGCGAGUAUAUAUUUUUUUUAUGACCUCAGCUCAAGUAAGAAUACCCGCUGAACUUAA